UCCCGCUCAGGGUUGCACCUGGAGAGUUCCCAGUAUUCUGCCAGUCUUGACUACGGGAGGGAGAGUCAAGCAGAGGCAUAUCCAAUCCAUUCCUAGCUUGGGCAGUGGUUAGCAAGUGGAAGGCAAUCUGCUACAUGU